rnacentral:sRNA from 1 species
ACUGGGUGUGGUGGCGCAUAUCUGUAAUCCCAGAUACUCAGGAGGAUGAGGCAAGAGAAUCACAAAUUGAAGGCCUGAUGAGCAAUUUAGUGAGACCCUGCCUCAA